AUUUGUUAAUUGUUUUGAUUCAAAUUUAUAUUACAUUACUGACUACUGAAAAUUUGAAAUGUUUGUUGAUUUUCGUUGUCCAAUCAGGGUUGAGUGUAUUUUGGGUUGUUCAACGACUUCCGCUUUUUGUCCAGCAAACCCGGCACGCGGAUAUAUUUUGGGCGAAUUUUGUUAUUCCCUCACGGAUUUCAGAGCGAAUUUAAGCUCUUUGAUUAAAACAUCGUUGUUUUGAGAGUUAUACGGUAUCAUU